rnacentral:misc_RNA from 1 species
GAGAGCCCUCGCUGGCUAUGCAAGGCUGGGAGACUCGAUGAGGCAAAAAAAGUCAUCAAUAACUUAUGGGGUUCAUCAGAAGUAGAUAAAGCUAUCAAAGAAUUUGAGUCUGUCCUAAAGAAUGAUGGGGAUGACUUGAACAGCAGUUGGCUGGAGCUCCUAGAGGAACCACACUCGAGAGGUUGUAUGAAGUUGCUACCAUUGGAGGUGCCUUGUUUGUACUUCAACAGCUUGCUGGUAUAAAUGGAGUUCUCUACUUUUCAUCCUUGACUUUCAAAGAUGUUGGGAUCUCAAGCAGCGCUUUAGCAAGCUUAUAUGUGGGACUGACCAAUUUUGCAGGUGCACUAUGUGCUUUAUACUUGAUGGAUAAGCAGGGGAGG